AUCUUUUGGGAGCUUGCUCCCUUAAGAUUAGCGGCGGACGGGUGAGUAACACGUGGGUAACCUGCCUGUAAGACUGGGAUAACUUCGGGAAACCGGAGCUAAUACCGGAUACUUUCUUUUCUCGCAUGAGGGAAGAUGGAAAGAUGGUUCUGCUAUCACUUACAGAUGGACCCGCGGCGCAUUAGCUAGUUGGUGAGUUUUCUCCUCACCAAGGGAUAGAUGCGUAGCCGACCUGAGAGGGUGAUCGGCCACACUGGGUCCUCCCUCGGCCCGGAUUCCUACGGGAGGCUGAAUCGAGCUUGC
rnacentral:sRNA from 1 species